rnacentral:rRNA from 1 species
ACGGGAGGCAGCAGUGAGGAAUAUUGGUCAAUGGGCGGAAGCCUGAACCAGCCAAGUCGCGUGAAGGAUGAAGGUAUUAUGUAUUGUAAACUUCUUUAGACGUAGAGAAAUAAGAGGGUCGUGACCCUUGAUGCUAGUAUACGUAGAAUAAGGAUCGGCUAACUCCGUGCCAGCAGCCGCGGUAAUACGGAGGAUCCGAGCGUUAUCCGGAUUUAUUGGGUUUAAAGGGAGCGUAGGCGGUAUGUUAAGUCUGCGGUAAAAUGUCAGGGCCCAACCUUGGCUUGCCGUGGAUACUGGCGUACUUGAAUGUGCACAAGGAAGGUGGAAUUCGUCGUGUAGCGGUGAAAUGCUUAGAUAUGACGAAGAACUCCGAUUGCGAAGGCAGCCUUCUGGGGCAUGAUUGACGCUGAGGCUCGAAAGUGCGGGAAUCAAACAGGAUUAGAUACCCUGGUA